GCCUAGCCCCGAUUGAGACGGCAUCCUUUGUGAGGCACGAACAAAGAUAGAGGCGAAAGCGGGAAAUAGC
rnacentral:sRNA from 1 species